GGUUUCCAUAACUAGGUUUCUAUAACUAGGUUUCUAUAACUAGGUUUCUAUAACUAGGUUUCCAUAACUAGGUUUCCAUAACUAGGUUUCUAUAACUAGGUUUCCAUAACUAGGUUUCCAUAACUAGGUUUCCAUAACUAGGUUUCCAUAACUAGGUUUCUAUAACUAGGUUUCCAUAACUAGGUUUCCAUAACUAGGUUUCCAUAACUAGGUUUCCAUAACUAGGGUUCCAUAACUAGGUUUCCAUAACUAGGUUUCCAUAACUAGGUUUCCAUAACUAGGUUUCCAUAACUAGGUUUCCAUAACUAGGUUUCCAUAACUAGGUUUCCAUAACUAGGUUUCCAUAACUAGGUUUCCAUAACUAGGUUUCCAUAACUAGGUUUCCAUAACUAGGUUUCCAUAACUAGGUUUCUAUAACUAGGUUUCCAUAACUAGGUUUCCAUAACUAGGUUUCCAUAACUAGGUUUCCAUAACUAGGUUUCUAUAACUAGGUUUCCAUAACUAGGUUUCCAUAACUAGGUUUCCAUAACUAGGUUUCUAUAACUAGGUUUCCAUA